UUCGUUAGUGACAGGGCAGAUAUCUGGAUAACUGCCUGGAAGUCUCUCCAUGUGACAUUCCAAAGCAGGCAAGCAGAACACCACUGGCUUUCUGGCAACAGGGUGUCUUUGGAACUGAAGAUUAUCUGGAAAAAGAAGGAGAAGCUGCAAGGUGCAGUGUGUAAUGCUUGCAAGGCAAGCAUAAAUGAUGGUGCUUGACUCAUGCCAUCAUUCAUUCAUCUUUGACCUCCCCGACAAGAAUGUCACCUGUGGUGUCUACAAAAGACACUGGCCAGCCUUUAAGGUUCCCUUGCUUGUCUGAUCCGAAACUGUGGGGAGUGAAUGCCCUGUGGCAUCACUUUGAUCAAGAGAUGUGGAAGUCAGGGACUCUGUUCCCAUGAGCUCUGUAGGGGGCAGUAGCUGAACAGAGACACAUAUCUUCCUGGGGUGUUAUUCUAUGAUACAAAGCUCAUUGCUGGCCUGAGCUGUCAUCAGCUCAGCAGGGUAUCCUAAUUUGAUGUCCCCAUGUUCCCUUCUUCAGCUUCCUUUUCUUUCAUUCUUGGUUCCCAAGAAAGACAAAGUACAUUGCCAGGGAGGUGACUCAAAGGUAGAGAAGAUGUGAGUGCUGGAGUAUGACCCCUGAAGAGAAGAGAAGAGAAGAGAAGAGAAGAGAAGAGAAGAGAAGAGAAGAGAAGAGAAG